GAAUCCAUCUGGCCACUCUACCAUAAAGGCCUGAUUGGUGGAGUGCUGCAGAGUUGGUUGUCCUUCUGGAAGGUUCUCCCAUCUCCACAUAGGAACUCUGGAGCUCUGUCAUAGUGACCUUCGGGUUCUUGGUCACCUCCCUGACCAAGGCCCUUCUCUUCUCCCCCGAUUGCUAAGUUUGGCCGGGCAGCCAGCUCUAGGAAGAGUCUUGGUGGUUCCAAACAUCUUCCAUUUAAGAAUGAAGGAGGCCACUGUGUUCUUGGGGACCUUCAAUGCUGCAGAAAUGUUUUGGUACCCUUCCCCAGAUCUGUGCCGACACAAUCCUGUCUCAGAGCUCUAUGGACAAUGCCUUCGACAUCAUGGCUUGGUUUUAGCUCUGACAUGCCCUGUCAACUGUGGGACCUUAUAUAGACAGGAGUGUUUCUUUCUAAAUCAUGUCCAAUCAGUUGAAUAUACCACAGGUGGACUCCAAUCAAGUUGUAGAAACAUCUCAAGGAUGAUCAAUGGAAACAGGAUGCACCUGAGCUUAGUUUCGAGUCUCAUAGCAAAAGGUCUGAAUACUUAUAUAAUUAAGGUAUCUUUUUUUAAUAUUUUCAAUACAUUUGCAAAUAUUUCUAAAAACCUGUUUUUACUUUGUCAUUACGGGGUAUUGUGUGUAGAUUGAUGACAUACGGUUUUAUUUUUAAUCCAUUUUAGAAUAAGGCUGUAACGUAACAAAAUGUGGAAAAUGUCAAGGGGUCUGAAUACUUUCUGAAUGCACUGUAUAUAAUGUAUUCUAUACAUUAUAGUAUGUAUUACAUGUACAUAAUGUGUCAGUACUGAGUAAUGUGUUUUUGGUGUACUGCUCACCUAGGCAGGUCUUGGUGUAUAUAAUGUGUCAGUACUGAGUAAUGUGUUUUUGGUGUACUGCUCACCUAGGCAGGUCUUGGUGUAUAUAAUGUGUCAGUACUGAGUAAUGUGUUUUUGGUGUACUGCUCACCUAGGCAGGUCUUGGUGUAUAUAAUGUGUCAGUACUGAGUAAUGUGUUUUUGGUGUACUGCUCACCUAGGCAGGUCUUGGUGUAUAUAAUGUGUCAGUACUGAGUAAUGUGUUUUUGGUGUACUGCUCACCGAGGCAGGUCUUGGUGUAUAUAAUGUGUCAGUACUGAGUAAUGUGUUUUUGGUGUACUGCUCACCGAGGCAGGUCUUGGUGUAUAUAAUGUGUCAGUACUGAGUAAUGUGUUUUUGGUGUACUGCUCACCUAGGCAGGUCUUGGUGUAUAUAAUGUGUCAGUACUGAGUAAUGUGUUUUUGGUGUACUGCUCACCUAGGCAGGUCUUGGUGUAUA